UUUUUUACGAAAAAUAUGCUUUGUAGCAUGAAAAUAUUGGAGUUUGUUCUUUUUUUCCGAUGGUUAUGUGCAUUUUAUGUGAUCGUGAACUUAUUUCUAAUCGAAAGUGUCAUCGGAGAUCGAUUUGUUGGCUGAAGUGUUACCACCAAUAAUUUUGUUGUGUUGUGAAAAUAGGUAAAGCGUGUCCUCAAAAUGCCGAAAGUUAUAUAUAAACAGAUUUUUCGGGAUGCUUGGCUCCAAAACAACGAAUUUAAGUGCCAGGAGAAGGAACCAAAGCAUAUUGUUGCUACUCUUAUAUGGGCGCUCAUCACCUGGCAACACUGUUACAAACUUAUAUUUGUCCCAAAAAGUACAAAACAUACAAGUCUGAUAUGAAAAGAUAACAAAAUAUUUGAAUGAAAUUCCAAAUUCUAUAUCGAUGUCAAAAUACAUUGAUUCGAAUUAUUAUAUUAUUAUAUUAUAUUUAUAUUCAAUAUAUAUUUUCCUAUGUCAAAGCAUUUUGAAUUUCCAAGUUGUGUAGAUGUUUCCAUUAGACAGCUGAAAGUUCCAAAAGUUACAGUUUUAUGUGUAAAAGUUUUAACAAUUACAUCGAGAUUUAAAGAUAAUCGAGAGAGAUUUAAUGUAAUCGAUAAUCUCGUGUCGAUCUCCAGUUUUCGAAAAGACCCAACAGCUCCAAAAGCGGUGCGAUGAUCGCUUUGGAC